GCCAGACUCCUACGGGAGGCAGCAGUGAGGAAUAUUGGUCAAUGGUCGGGAGACUGAACCAGCCAAGCCGCGUGAGGGAUGAAGGUACAGAGUAUCGUAAACCUCUUUUGUCAGGGAACAAAGGCGGGGACGUGUCCCGGCCCGGAGAGUACCCGGAGAAAAAGCAUCGGCUAACUCCGUGCCAGCAGCCGCGGUAAUACGGAGGAUGCGAGCGUUAUCCGGAUUUAUUGGGUUUAAAGGGUGCGCAGGCGGAGGUGCAAGUCAGCGGUCAAAUUGCGGGGCUCAACCCCGUACUGCCGUUGAAACUGCAUCCCUUGAGUGCGCGAGAAGUAUGCGGAAUGCGUGGUGUAGCGGUGAAAUGCAUAGAUAUCACGCAGAACUCCGAUUGCGAAGGCAGCGUACCGGCGCCCAACUGACGCUGAAGCACGAAGGCGUGGGUAUCGAACAGGAUUAGAUACCCGAGUAGA
rnacentral:rRNA from 1 species